UGUUUGUGGACUGAGUGUGCCUGCUGCAUCUCCAUCUUCACCUACCUUUCAUGAUAUACAACGAGCUCUAGGCCCAGAGGUGCCAGUGGCUCAGGAUGGGACAUGCACUCCUGUCAUCCUCUGAAUGGGUGAAAAGGAGGCCUUUAUUAACCCCCCGGAGCUGUGCAGAGCACUUUUAUGAUGGAUGAAUGCACUUUUUUGGGCUUCAAAAUCUCGACCCUCAUUCACUGCCAUUAUAAAACUUGGAAGAGCCAGGACAUUUUUAAAUAAAACUCCAGUUGUGUUUGUCUGAAAGAAGACAGUAAUAUACUGUACACCUAGGAGGGUGACACCCUUUAAGGCCCUUGAAGGUUGAGGAUGAUGAACCGGACAUCCUUCUAGCACGGCAAAAUAAACUAGAAAGGUGAAAUGAAUAAAAACACAACCAGAAAAGCAUCAUAAGGCAGUUUGAAUGAGCAUAUUUGUGAGAGUGAGGUUGGAGAGGUGGAGUGGACCUGGAAGAGAUCCAACCCAACUUGACUUGGCAUGUGUUCAGCAAUGAUGUAAUACACUAGCAAACACGUGUUGAUUUCCUCUCAUUCAGCAGGCAAAACAAAACAAUCAUCAGAUUCACUUCACACAUUUGAGUCCCUCUCCAAAAGGAUCUCAUCUGCAUUAUUGAAUGCUUAACAUGCUCAUGGCUCCCCAUCCCAGUGUUGCUUUUCUACCUCACGCCCAACCAUUCACUCCCAGUGCAACAAAGCUUGAUGUGAAGAUUAAUGAUUGAGUUGCAAUUAAACAUUCUCCUUUGUAGUCACACACAAGAGGAUUUGACAAGGUUUACAUAAGCUAUACUGACACGUAAGCCACAUUUUCAUUCUAAGACACGCACCUUGAGUCAUUGUGUUGGUGGUGAACAGUUUACAGAGUUACCAGGUAUACAGUCCCUUACAAACACACUCACCCGC
ensembl:lncRNA